rnacentral:rRNA from 1 species
UACGUAGGGUGCAAGCGUUGUCCGGAUUUACUGGGUGUAAAGGGUGCGCAGGCGGAUCUGUGCGUCAGAGGUUAAAUAUCCCGGCUUAACCGGGAAAGUGCCUUUGAUACGGCAGAUCUUGAAUAUGAGAGAGGAUGAUAGAAUUCCUGGUGUAGCGGUGAAAUGCGUAGAUAUCAGGAGGAAUACCGGUGGCGAAGGCGGUCAUCUGGCUCAUUAUUGACGCUCAGGCACGAAAGCGUGGGGAUCAAACAGG